UACAGAAGUCUCAAGCGUUGUUCGGAUUCAUUGGGCGUAAAGGGCGCGUAGGCGGGAUGGCAAGUCGGUCGUGAAAUCCUUCGGCUCAACCGAAGAACGUCGAUCGAUACUGCUGUUCUUGAGGGUUGCAGAGGAGACUGGAAUUCCCGGUGUAGCGGUGAAAUGUGUAGAGAUCGGGAGGAACACCGGUGGCGAAGGCGCCACUCUGGGCCGAAACUGACGCUGAGGAGCGAAAGCGUGGGUAGCAAACAGG
rnacentral:rRNA from 1 species